GUCCACGCCGUAAACGUUGGUAACUAGGUGUGGGCGACAUUCCACGUCGUCCGUGCCGCAGCUAACGCAUUAAGUUCCCCGCCUGGGGAGUACGGCCGCAAGGCUAAAACUCAAAGGAAUUGACGGGGGCCCGCACAAGCGGCGGAGCAUGUGGCUUAAUUCGACGCAACGCGAAGAACCUUACCAAGGCUUGACAUACGCCGGAUCGCCGUAGAGAUAUGGUUUCCUUUUGGUCGGUGUACAGGUGGUGCAUGGCUGUCGU
rnacentral:rRNA from 1 species